UACGGAGGGUGCAAGCGUUAUCCGGAUUCACUGGGUUUAAAGGGUGCGUAGGUGGGAAUGUAAGUCAGUGGUGAAAUCUCCGUGCUUAACAUGGAAACUGCCAUUGAUACUAUGUUUCUUGAAUCUUCCGUAGGUCAGCGGAAUAUGUCAUGUAGCGGUGAAAUGCUUAGAUAUGACAUAGAACACCAAUUGCGAAGGCAGCUGACUACAGGGGCAUUGACACUGAGGCACGAAAGCGUGGGGAUCAAACAGG
rnacentral:rRNA from 1 species